rnacentral:rRNA from 1 species
AGUGAACGCUGGCGGUAGGCCUAACACAUGCAAGUCGAACGGCAGCACGGUAAGAGCUUGCUCUUACGGGUGGCGAGUGGCGGACGGGUGAGGAAUACAUCGGAAUCUACUUUUUCGUGGGGGAUAACGUAGGGAAACUUACGCUAAUACCGCAUACGACCUACGGGUGAAAGCAGGGGAUCUUCGGACCUUGCGCGAUUGAAUGAGCCGAUGUCGGAUUAGCUAGUUGGCGGGGUAAAGGCCCACCAAGGCGACGAUCCGUAGCUGGUCUGAGAGGAUGAUCAGCCACACUGGGACUGAGACACGGUCCAGACUCCUACGGGAGGCAGCAGUGGGGAAUAUUGGACAAUGGGCGCAAGCCUGAUCCAGCCAUACCGCGUGGGUGAAGAAGGCCUUCGGGUUGUAAAGCCCUUUUGUUGGGAAAGAAAAGCAGCAGGUUAAUACCCCGCUGUUCUGACGGUACCCAAAGAAUAAGCACCGGCUAACUUCGUG